rnacentral:rRNA from 1 species
UACAGAGGGGGCGAGCGUUGUUCGGAAUUACUGGGCGUAAAGGGCGCGUAGGCGGCCCGCUAAGUCGAACGUGAAAUCCCCAGGCUCAACCUGGGAACUGCGUCCGAUACUGGCAGGCUUGAAUCCGGGAGAGGGAUGUGGAAUUCCAGGUGUAGCGGUGAAAUGCGUAGAUAUCUGGAGGAACACCCGUGGCGAAGGCGGUUCUCUGGGACGGUACUGACGCUGAGACGCGAAAGCGUGGGGAGCGAACAGG